CGAUGUACAGGCCUUGUACACAGGAGGUAGUGAAAUGCUAGCUCUGAUAUCCUUAAUUUUUCCAACAAAGAAGUCAAGGAAUACAUUACUAUUUGACUAAGAGAGCACCGCAAUUUGAGAAACAGAUGGAGAAACAAUAGAGUUAAUAGAAUCAAAUAAGAAUUUGGGGUUUUUCUUGUUAGCCGAUAUUAGCUGAGAGAAGUAGUUAGUUCUAGCAUUCUUCAGGAGUUCAUUUAGAGAAGCAGUUAAUUCCCUAAGAUAGAGCCUGUGGACUUCGAGUUUAGUUGUUUUCCAUAAGCGCUCUAUUUUCCGACGUUUACUUCUAAGGCUCUGAAUAGAUGAAUUAAUCCACGGGCAGGGCUUUUUAACAGACACAAUGUUUGAUUUCAUAGGAGCCACUUCAUCUAGAAUUGUUAAACAUUGGCUGUUAAAAGACUCCACACACACAUUUACAUCACUACAACCUCUUAGCUGGCAUGGAUCAAACAAGA